rnacentral:rRNA from 1 species
UACGUAGGGUGCAAGCGUUGUCCGGAAUUACUGGGCGUAAAGGGCGCGUAGGCGGCAUGGCAAGUCAGGAGUGAAAGGCCUGGGCUCAACCGAGGAACUGCUUUUGAUACUGCCAAGCUAGAGUGCGGAAGGGGCAACUGGAAUUCCCAGUGUAGCGGUGAAAUGCGUAGAUAUUGGGAAGAACACCUGAGGCGAAGGCGGGUUGCUGGGCCGACACUGACGCUGAGGCGCGAAAGCCAGGGGAGCAAACGGG